UGGAUUCAGCGGCGGACGGGUGAGUAAUGCCUAGGAAUCUGCCUGGUAGUGGGGGAUAACGUCCGGAAACGGGCGCUAAUACCGCAUACGUCCUGGGGGAGAAAGUGGGGGAUCUUCGGACCUCACGCUAUCAGAUGAGCCUAGGUCGGAUUAGCUAGUUGGUGGGGUAAAGGCCUACCAAGGCGACGAUCCGUAACUGGUCUGAGAGGAUGAUCAGUCACACUGGAACUGAGACACGGUCCAGACUCCUACGGGAGGCAGCAGUGGGGAAUAUUGGACAAUGGGCGAAAGCCUGAUCCAGCCAUGCCGCGUGUGUGAAGAAGGUCUUCGGAUUGUAAAGCACUUUAAGUUGGGAGGAAGGGCAGUAAGUUAAUACCUUGCUGUUUUGACGUUACCAACAGAAUAAGCACCGGCUAACUUCGUGCCAGCAGCCGCGGUAAUACGAAGGGUGCAAGCGUUAAUCGGAAUUACUGGGCGUAAAGCGCGCGUAGGUGGUUCAGCAAGUUGGAUGUGAAAUCCCCGGGCUCAACCUGGGAACUGCAUCCAAAACUACUGAGCUAGAGUACGGUAGAGGGUGGUGGAAUUUCCUGUGUAGCGGUGAAAUGCGUAGAUAUAGGAAGGAACACCAGUGGCGAANGCGACCACCUGGACUGAUACUGACACUGAGGUGCGAAAGCGUGGGGAGCAAACAGGA
rnacentral:rRNA from 1 species